rnacentral:rRNA from 1 species
AGAGUUUGAUCAUGGCUCAGGAUGAACGCUAGCGACAGGCCUAACACAUGCAAGUCGAGGGGCAGCACAAGGAGCAAUCGUGAGGUGGCGACCGGCGCACGGGUGAGUAACACGUAUGCAACCCUGGCCUGGUAAGAGGGGGAAUAACCCGGAGAAAUCCGGACUAAUACCGCAUAAUACUUAGAAUCCGCAUGGAUUUUAAGUUAAACAUUUAUGGCUUACAGAUGGGCAUGCGUAUGAUUAGCUGGUUGGAGAGGUAACGGCUCCCCAAGGCAACGAUCAUUAGGGGUUCUGAGAGGAAGGUCCCCCACACUGGUACUGAGACACGGACCAGACUCCUACGGGAGGCAGCAGUGAGGAAUAUUGGUCAAUGGACGCAAGUCUGAACCAAGCCAAGUCGCGUGAAGGAAGAAUGUCCUAUGGAUUGUAAACUUCUUUUGGAGGGGAAUAAAGUACGGUACGUGUACCGUUUCGUAUGUACCCUUCGAAUAAGGAUCGGCUAACUCCGUGCCAGCCGCUGC